rnacentral:rRNA from 1 species
UACGGAGGGGGCUAGCGUUGUUCGGAAUUACUGGGCGUAAAGCGCACGUAGGCGGCGAUUUAAGUCAGAGGUGAAAGCCCGGGGCUCAACCCCGGAAUAGCCUUUGAGACUGGAUUGCUAGAAUCUUGGAGAGGCGAGUGGAAUUCCGAGUGUAGAGGUGAAAUUCGUAGAUAUUCGGAAGAACACCAGUGGCGAAGGCGGCUCGCUGGACAAGUAUUGACGCUGAGGUGCGAAAGGCGUGGGGAGCAAACAGG